rnacentral:misc_RNA from 1 species
GAUGAAGAACGCAGCGAAAUGCGAUAAGUAAUGUGAAUUGCAGAAUUCCGUGAAUCAUCGAAUCUUUGAACGCACAUUGCGCCCGCCAGUAUUCUGGCGGGCAUGCCUGUUCGAGCGUCAUUUCAACCAUCAAGCCCCCGGGCUUGUGUUGGGGACCUGCGGCUGCCGCAGGCCCUGAAAAGCAGUGGCGGGCUCGCUGUCACACCGAGCGUAGUAGCAUACAUCUCGCUCUGGGCGUGCUGCGGGUUCCGGCCGUUAAACCACCUUUUAACCCAAGGUUGACCUCGGAUCAGGUAGGAAGACCCGCUGAACUUAAGCAUAUCAAUAAGCGGAGGA